CAAGCUGCGAGCACCUGAGGCGGCAAAGAUCUGAGGCUGCGCAUUCCGCCCACGCUGUGCGCACGUGCCCACGGUAGGGGCGGGGCUGCUGGCUAGGCUCGAGGGCUAUGCGGGGGUUCACGAGCCCUGUGGCUUUUUCGUUCUUUGCUGCCCAGCAGGCUCAGUGCCCCCAGGCCACUUGCUGCCCCAGAAGCUGGGCCGGGGAGUUUUGAACGAGGUAUGAGGAUGACUAAAGGUGGAGCUUAACUGGAAACUGAAUAUAGGACGUUUGAUUUGGAAGAGUCAGAUACUAUCUUCGUCAUCAGCCUUUAGACUUGCAACUAAGACCUGUGCUUUCUGCCACAACCACGAGGAGGAAGAUCACCUACAGGGGCUGAAAUCCUGAGACUUGAUUUCUGGGUUCUGAGAUCAAGGAGGUUCAAGCACCUGCCAUAGAAUUAAAGAGAAAGGGACUGAUGUGCAGGUGGAUUUCUGGGCCUUCCAGCGCUGGUUUUUGGAGCACCCACAAGACACUUGGCAGAUGGCACUCGGCACGAGGAUAAGUUCGAGAGAUGAACACACACACAUGGAACUUGAACUUGCCAUGCUAUGACAGAAGUCUGAGUUACUGUGGACAGAUAGCAGUGUUUUCCUGAUGGGCGAAAAUGACCAAUGUGACAAGAUCAGAGGGCCAUGCUUCUUCCAAAAGAGACUGCCUCCACACAGGACAGUGUUCACACAUGCCAGGAAGGACUGGAGGACAUUUGGUCACAGCUUGUACCCUCAAUCAGUGGACAGGACUCCUUGAGAGGGGAAGACUUGUAAAACCUUUAAAGAAAACAGUGAUUUGCCAGGAAGUUAAGGGAAUUCAACCGCAGCCCCCAUGGAGCAUCCUUAUUAUGUAACACAAAUGGUUCACCCAUAGGACCAAUGCAGGGGCCUUGUGGAAGCUUGCCGCACUAGUGAAAAGUGGAAUGAUUUACAUUUGGAAGCCACAGCUACUAUGAAAAUAAACAUUGAAUCAGUUCCUUCCUCUAAGUCCAUGUUCCAUUAGAGUAACUAUGGUAGGUGACAUUUUUCAUAUUUUAAUUGGUGUUUUGCUGAUUUUAUCAGAAUUUCUGCUGAUCAAAGCAAAUUGGCUAUUUAUUUAUUUUUCGAUGAAGCUAACUGUUCAGUGCAAGUUUAAUGUACUGUAAUGAAUUUUAAAUAUCCUCCUAGUCACAUUACAAAGUGUUUGAAUCAAGAUGUCCUUGUUACACUUAAAUUAUUAAUUACUCAAAUGGACAAAAGGCAACUUUCACAUGUAAUGUCACAUUUUAAAUGGAUCCGAAUUGGAUGAAAGUGUUAGGCCUGCAUUAAAAGAUGUCAGAGAAAUAAAAAAAUGUUUUCCCCUACAGUCUGCUUAAUCCACUCAUACCUACUUGGUUUUUAGACAUAUGAUAAAUACUUUCAUUAUUAGUUUAUUUUCAGUAGCUUGCAGAACAAUAAGUUUUUAUGCUAUUUACACUCCAGUGACUUUGGUUUAAUUGGCUUCUUUUAUGUUAUUUAUAUAAAUAUAAAUCAUACUGAGUUUUAAAGUAUUAAUGAUGCAUUUUAUGUUAUAAUGCUGUUUUCAUCCAGUCUAGCACUCCAUAAAUCCAUCCAUGAGUAGCAACUAAGGAUCUUUAUAAAAUCUACUUCAAAAGUUGAAGCAAAUGCACUCUGAACCUCAACAGAAUUCAAGCUCGGGAUGAAAAGAUCUACUGAAUUACACAUCAUUUGCAUUUGAGUUAGCAAAUUAAUUUAUUCAAAUAUUUCUGGAGGGCAAUUCUCAGGUCUGUAUGCUUGGGAAACGACAUAGAUUUGUUUUUCAAGGCACUGUAACAAAGCAAAGCAAAAAAACCCAUUUAAAUAAAACUGAGUUGUAAGCAUCACUUCUACCAGUUAAAGGGUGAGUCUCUGGAAGCCCUCAGACAUGACAUCUGUCAAGCAAAUACGUGAGUCGAGAGAUCUUUUAACUGUUUAAGUGUUUGCUGUUGUAGACUUUUAUAAACACCUGCUUGGUGAUCACUGGACUUUUUUUCUUGCAUCCUAAGGUGAUGUUAUGAGUAAAUAGAAUUUUCUUACAUAGCUCACUUUUCUAAAUAAACUUUAAGAUUUUGUAGAUUGAGUUGCAGUGCUGAAAGCCAUAUGAAAAAUAAAUCAGAGUCAAUAAAGGAUAUUUUUGAAUCGACAAAUGAUGUCAUUUCAUUCAAGUUCUGUGAAAAAUGUCUUUGGUAAUUUGAUAGGGACUGCAUUGAAUCUGUAGAUUGCCUUAGGUAGUAUAGUCA